rnacentral:rRNA from 1 species
GACGGGAGGGGCAAGUGUUCUUCGGAAUGACUGGGCUUAAAGGGCACGUAGGCGGUGAAUCGGGUUGAAAGUGAAAGUCGCCAAAAAGUGGCGGAAUGCUCUCGAAACCAAUUCACUUGAGUGAGACAGAGGAGAGUGGAAUUUCGUGUGUAGGGGUGAAAUCCGUAAAUAUACGAAGGAACGCCAAAAGCAAAGGCAGCUCUCUGGGUCCCUACCGACGCUGGGGUGCGAAAGCAUGGGGAGCGAACAGG